rnacentral:tRNA from 1 species
UGGGCUGGUAGAUCAACGGUAGAUCGCAUCGUUCGCAACGAUGAGGCUGAGGGUUCAAAUCCCUCCCCGUCCAU